rnacentral:rRNA from 1 species
GAUGAACGCUAGCGGCAGGCUUAACACAUGCAAGUCGAACGGACCCUUCGGGGUUAGUGGCGGACGGGUGAGUAACACGUGGGAACGUGCCUUUAGGUUCGGAAUAGCUCCUGGAAACGGGUGGUAAUACCGAAUGUGCCCUUCGGGGGAAAGAUUUAUCGCCUUUAGAGCGGCCCGCGUCUGAUUAGCUUGUUGGUGAG